rnacentral:rRNA from 1 species
GUCUUUUUGAAUUAAAUUUAAAGUCUAACCUGCCCACUGAAAUUUUAAAUGGCCGCAGUAUUCUAACUGUGCAAAGGUAGCAUAAUCAUUAGUCUUUUAAUUGAAGGCUGGAAUGAAUGGUUGGACGAGAUAUUAACUGUUUCAUUUUAAUUUUUUUUUAGAAUUUUAUUUUUUAGUCAAAAAGCUAAAAUUUAUUUAAAAGACGAGAAGACCCUAUAAAUCUUUAUAUUUUAUUUAUUUUAAUUAUAAAGAUUAUUUUUAUUAUAAUAAAUUAAAAUAUUUUAUUGGGGUGAUAUUAAAAUUUAAAAAACUUUUAAUUUUUAAAAAUCAUUAAUUUAUGAAUAAUUGAUCCAUUAAUAGUGAUUAAAAAAUUAAGUUACUUUAGGGAUAACAGCGUAAUUUUUUUGGAGAGUUCUUAUCGAUAAAAAAGAUUGCGACCUCGAUGUUGGAUUAAGAUAUAAUUUUGGGUGUAGCCGUUCAAAUUUUAAGUCUGUUCGACUUUUAAAUUCUU